GACGAACGCUGGCGGCGUGCUUAACACAUGCAAGUCGAACGGUAAGGCCCUUCGGGGUACACGAGUGGCGAACGGGUGAGUAACACGUGGGUGAUCUGCCCUGCACUUCGGGAUAAGCCUGGGAAAAUGGGUCUAAUACCGGAUAGGACCACUGCCUGCAUGGGUGGUGGUGGAAAGCUUUUGCGGUGUGGGAUGGGCCCGCGGCCCAUCAGCUUGUUGGUGGGGUGAUGGCCUACCAAGGCGACGACGGGUAGCCGGCCUGAGAGGGUGACCGGCCACACUGGGACUGAGAUACGGCCCAUACUCCUACGGGAGGCAGCAGUGGGGAAUAUUGCACAAUGGGCGCAAGCCUGAUGCAGCGACGCCGUGUGAUGGAUGACGGCCUUCGGGUUGUAAACCUCUUUCAGCACCGACGAAGCGCAAGUGACGGUAGGUGCAGAAGAAGGACCGGCCAACUACGUGCCAGCCGCCGCUGUAA
rnacentral:rRNA from 1 species